UCCUGCUGCUGACGAUAAUAAUAGCGCUUUUAACAUCAAAUAAAUGGAUCUUCCACGUGUUUUCGGGAAAGAUCUUCCCCCAGAAUUUUGUAGGAAACCGCCAGAUGUUGGGAAAUGUGAAGCAAAGUAUCCCUCCUGGUAUUAUGACUCACGAGGCGGCUAUUGUAAGAUGUUCUUCUUUAGCGGUUGUGGUGGCAACAGCAACCGAUUCAACACAGAGGGAAAGUGUCAAGAAAUCUGCAUACCUAAUAAAAAGCCAGUAAGUCUCUGCAGCUUGCUUCCGUAUCUGGUGCCAUGCAAGAGUCCCUUUCGUUUAUCGUGGUAUUUUAAUCCCAAAACAAACACGUGCCAUCAGUACAAACGCGGUUUCUGUGGAGGAAAUGACAAGUUUUCAACAUGCGCAAAAUGCAUGGAAAGGUGCAGCAAAAAGACCACCAUGUGGGCCGAACGUGGUGAUAGUGAAGAAAGACUCGAAGCUCAAUGUCAAACACCGCUGUGGGAUCGGGAACCUAUAACGUGCCCUUCAGGAUCUUCGAGAUGGGCCCACGUAUAGCGAGGAAUUAACACCUACUUCAUCUCCGCCAUGGAUCGACCCGGCAUUGCACUACCUUCCUGAUGGACCCACUUAUUCGUGCGACAGAGGCCUGCAGAUUGAUCCAAGAGCAACAGAAACAGUGGAAGAAGAGACCAUGAUACAAAAUCGGAAUAGGAACCUGCUUCGACCUCUUUUUCUGGGCAUCUUGGUGCACACUCUCGUACCAAAUUUGUGCAUAGGCAAUUAUUUUGGAUUCCCUUUGCUGCCGCGUGAGCAUUUUUUUUUUUAGCCCAACCACCUGCCUGAAAUCCCGACCACAAAAUACGCGAUCGUCACGUAAAAAGCUUUAAAAAUGUUGAACUAUCAGUUUUCAUGUAGCGACAAGUUAAGCGAACUUUUAAUUCUAAAGAAAUUAGACACCUUUUGUGAGAAAAUACAUUUGGUUAUAAUAAUAAAGUUGCCGGCUUGAGAUUGCGAAAGACACGCCAUCUGGACAUUGUAA